ACUUGAAUAGCUUAUAGUUUAGAGCGUGACACUGAAGAUGUCAAUGAGGUUGUUGUGCCUUUAAGUA
rnacentral:tRNA from 1 species